rnacentral:sRNA from 1 species
UUAGCCCUAUCGCAACAGGGCAAGAGCAGGAGGCCGGUCAUGUUUUUCGAUAAUGUGGUUUUUGCCGGGGUGCUGACUGUCGGCCUCAUGGUGCUGUUUUUUGUAGGGUUUGGAUUUUUUAUCUGGAAAGACGCGAACAAGCGUAAAAAACCAUAGGUUUUUCCGGGUUACAUGAGCACGCAAGGCAUUUUGGGCGACUUCGGUCGCCCUUUUUUUUG